rnacentral:lncRNA from 1 species
AUAUAUUCUGAUCUCCCUCCUCGUUGUUGCCCACUUCCGGCCUUGCGUGUGUCAAUACACUUCAGUUGCAAAGAUCCAAAAAUAUGAAGCGCAAUAGCAUGACGACGACCAUGUUCUUGUGUGCUAUGCUUUUCGGAUCCCUAACAAUGCAAACACAAUGUAAGUGCUGUUGAAUUUGCCUAUGUGCGAGAUCAGAGUGAGUAUUAUACUAGUUAUUAUCGACGAAAUGUUGAUGAGCAUGGAAAUUCCGCAGGUCGUCCUCAUCAGCUAUUGGAUGGCAGGAGGAGGUCUGUCGUCGUCGAUACCAUUGCCAACUCUACAUGGUCAUUAGAAGAUGAGAGAAAGAGCGACAAGCUUAUGGUGUGCUUGAAGUACCAAUGCAAUGACUUCGAACCUAAUGGUACUUGCUUCUGCUGUGAGAUCUCUAAGGACAACGAUUGCUACUCGACACAUGACGAGUGUGUGGAUAACUGCCACCGUUGCAAGGGGCCCAAUUGUUGACCAUGCAUUAGGACUUAGCCAUGGCUUACAACUGUCAAGCGGUAAAGCAUUUGGAUAUGUAAACGUACACUAUGCAGUAUAAGAAGUUGCCGGAUCCUAAAACUAAAAUCAUUUUGGAGUCAAAUAUCGUAUCUUGAGAUGUAUCAUGCAUUUUUGCUACAAAUAAAUGUUUCCAUGUUUUUUGUUGGAAUAUAAAUAUUGAUCAUGCUUUAUAUU